rnacentral:rRNA from 1 species
GACGAACGCUGGCGGCGUGCUUAACACAUGCAAGUCGAACGGAAAGGCCCUGCUUUUGUGGGGUGCUCGAGUGGCGAACGGGUGAGUAACACGUGAGUAGCCUGCCCUUGACUUUGGGAUAACUUCAGGAAACUGGGGCUAAUACCGGAUAGGAGCUCCUGCUGCAUGAUGGGGGUUGGAAAGUUUCGGCGGUUGGGGAUGGACUCGCGGCUUAUCAGCUUGUUGGUGGGGUAGUGGCUUACCAAGGCUUUGACGGGUAGACGGCCUGAGAGGGUGACCGGCCACAUUGGGACUGAGAUACGGCCCAGACUCCUACGGGAGGCAGCAGUGGGGAAUAUUGCACAAUGGGCGGAAGCCUGAUGCAGCAACGCCGCGUGCGGGAUGACGGCCUUCGGGUUGUAAACCGCUUUCGCCUGUGACGAAGCGUGAGUGACGGUAAUGGGUAAAGAAGCACCGGCUAACUACGUG